GAAGGCUUGACCUCAAAUCCAGGA
rnacentral:rRNA from 1 species